rnacentral:rRNA from 1 species
AUUGAACGCUGGCGGCAUGCUUUACACAUGCAAGUCGAGCGGUAACAGGCCUUCGGGUGCUGACGAGUGGCGAACGGGUGAGUAAUGCAUCGGAACGUACCCAGAGGUGGGGGAUAACGCAGCGAAAGCUGUGCUAAUACCGCAUGUGAUCUGAGGAUGAAAGCGGGGGACCGAGCAGCAAUGUUUGGCCUCGCGCCUUUGGAGCGGCCGAUGUCGGAUUAGCUAGUUGGUGGGGUAAAGGCCUACCAAGGCGACGAUCCGUAGCUGGUCUGAGAGGACAACCAGCCACACUGGGACUGAGACACGGCCCAGACUCCUACGGGAGGCAGCAGUGGGGAAUUUUGGACAAUGGGCGCAAGCCUGAUCCAGCAAUGCCGCGUGCGGGAAGAAGGCCUUCGGGUUGUAAACCGCUUUUGGCAGGAACGAAACGGUGUCCGCUAAUACCGGGCGCUAAUGACGGUACCUGCAGAAUAAGCACCGGCUAACUACGUG